GCCAGGGUAGCUCAGUGGUAGCAGCGAUCCUCUCAUAAGGGAUAGGCCGAGAGUUCGAUCCUCUCCCCUGGCA
rnacentral:tRNA from 1 species